rnacentral:rRNA from 1 species
UGGGGAAUUUUGGACAAUGGGCGAAAGCCUGAUCCAGCAAUGCCGCGUGUGUGAAGAAGGCCUUCGGGUUGUAAAGCACUUUUGCUCCGGAAAGAAAUCCUUGGCUCUAAUACAGUCGGGGGAUGACGGUACCGGAAGAAUAAGCACCGGCUAACUACGUGCCAGCAGCCGCGGUAAUACGUAGGGUGCAAGCGUUAAUCGGAAUUACUGGGCGUAAAGCGUGCGCAGGCGGUUUGCUAAGACCGAUGUGAAAUCCCCGGGCUCAACCUGGGAACUGCAUUGGUGACUGGCAGGCUAGAGUAUGGCAGAGGGGGGUAGAAUUCCACGUGUAGCAGUGAAAUGCGUAGAGAUGUGGAGGAAUACCGAUGGCGAAGGCAGCCCCCUGGGCCAAUACUGACGCUCAUGCACGAAAGCGUGGGGAGCAAACAGGAUUAGAUACCCUGGUAGUCCACGCCCUAAACGAUGUCAACUAGUUGUUGGGGAUUCAUUUCCUUAGUAACGUAGCUAACGCGUGAAGUUGACCGCCUGGGGAGUACGGU